UACGUAGGAGGCAAGCGUUGUCCGGAAUCACUGGGCGUAAAGCGCGUGUAGGCGGAUCGCUAAGUCUGUGGUGAAAGCGCCUGGCUUAACCGGGCGAGGUCCAUGGAAACUAGCGGUCUGGAGGCCGGUAGAGGGGGUGGAAUUCCGGGUGUAGUGGUGAAAUGCGCAGAUAUCGGGAAGAACACCCGUGGCGAAGGCGGUUCUCUGGGACGGUACUGACGCUGAGACGCGAAAGCGUGGGUAGCAAACAGG
rnacentral:rRNA from 1 species